AUUGCAACAGAUAUGGGCCAGCCGGGGCAGAAGGCAGGAGGUGGGGCAGAAAGGAGGGCAGGAAGGAGGUGCUGUAUCAACUGGGCAAUGGCUAUUUUCAAGGGUAGCUGGAGUCCUAAGAUAAUAGAAUUCCGUAGCCCCAUAUAAUUUUAGAAUCUUCAUCUUACAUAGGCAAAUGAGGCUCAGAGAGGGAAAGUGACUGUGAAGGUCACACAGCCAGUUAGUGGCAGAGCAACUCACACGUCCUGAUUCCUUGAACAGUAUUAUUUUCUGCUGCCCCAAGCCAAGGCCAGUGGCAGACCCUGUCUCAGGGCUUCCUGAUUUUGGGCAGCUCUGCUUUUCAGAGGACUUCUCUGGACAGGCACCCAGUGUCCAAAGAGAACCCAGGGUCAGGCAGCACAAUCCCAGGGGCUUCUCUGCAGCUGCUCUCCUCCCAGCACACAGGGAGAUACCAGCCACCGUCCCGGAGCCAUUCGGCCUGGGUCUGAAGCCCAGCAACCCGAGCUCAUUCUGAUGAAGCAAGCUGCCACGCUGUGAGCUGCACUAUGGAAAGGCCCAUGCUGCAUGGCACUGAGGAGGCUCCAGCCAGCAGCCGAUGAGGAGCUGGAUCCUGCCAGCCGCCACGUGAGUGAGCUGGGAAGCAGAUCCAACCCCAUAUCAGCACUGAGAUGGUCACAGCCCCACGGACAGCCUGCUUGCAGCCUUGUGAGGGACCUUGAGCCUGAGGACCCAGCUAAGCCACACCCAGCUUCUCAACCCAGAGAAACAGUGAGAUGAUAAACUGAGCUGGCUUUUAAGCCACUAAGUUUUGGGGUAAUUUGUGACACCGUAAUGGAUAAUUAGUACAGCCAGUAACAUAGGCAGAUAUGAGACAGUGCAAAAUAUUUUAGAUUUUAGUGGUUAUCCUUUGGGUUUUAGAGUUCUCCAGGUAGGUUCUCAACCUGGUACCCACAUGUAAUCCAUCUGAGCUUCUGGUUCUGAACCUUCCUGAUGCGUAAAAUCUAUGUAUCAUCUGAAGUUGGAUGAAAACCGAUGUUGCUUUAUUAACAUCGAGGUGGUAGGUGGGCAAUGGGAGGUUGAAAACGUCGGGGACUAACCUCAACUGACAACCUAUUGGACUCUGGCCCUUGCAGGAUAUUUUGCUGAGCGUUCAAGUAUCUCACUGAUCCUUAAGGGUAUCCAUGAAUCCUGAGAUGUGCAGUUAAGUAACUCACCCAGGAAUAGCCAGCCAGCCAGAGGUGUGGCCAGGACCUUCCUGCAGCUCUGCCUCUGAGACCACCUGUAUGCCACAGGGUUCUGACCUUACUCUCACCAGUGGCCCUUUCCAGAAACAGCUGGUCCACUGAGUGAGGACUGACGGUGGAGAAGGCAGAAAACCUGAGAUACUUUAUUGUUCCUGGGGAAAUAUGCCCAGGAAACCUUUCCAGGGAAGUUGAAGAAGCUGCAUGUUGGCUAUGGCAGAGGUGACAUUCUGCCAUUGCUCUCUACUAACAGAACCCCUAUUAUUACUGGGAGCGUCUACCUGCCCCAUAAAUUUCCCAGCCCCUCUUGCCAUAGAGGGUACCCAAUAAGAUGUAAGUUGAAGUCAUUGGGAGAAGCUUCCGGUAAAGAUUUUUUAAAGUGCUGACUCAUCUGAGAGGUGCCUCCUCUUGCACUGCUUGCCCCUUCUUGGUGCCAGGAAUGUGGACAUAAUGGCUGGAGCUGCAGUAGCGUUUCAUGACCAUGCAGUGACCUUGACAGAGGAAGCCACUCUCUAAGGGUAGCAGAGCACAAAGAUAGAGCCUUGUCUUCUUGGAAGGGAUGACUGAGGAGCCAUCAUUCUAGCCUUUGACUUUUUGCAUCAGGAUUUAUUUUAUAUGAGAGAAAAGAAAGUAAACUCUUUUGUUGUUUAA